rnacentral:sRNA from 1 species
ACAAAUAGAAUCUUCAUCUAAAUAUGAUUUAGACUUUUCAAAAUAUUCAUCAUGGAUUAAAACUCUAGAUCUACAAUGGUGAACAAAUGUCUCGUUUUGUAAAGGAUCUAGAUCUAGCACUACUAGUAACUAGCAGAUAUGCUUUCCGAUUACCAAAAGAUGAUGAAUGGUGGCUUAGAAAGAAAAAAUGGCAAGCGGUAAUACCUUUGGCUUAGUAGAAGGUUUAGAUCUACGUACCAUUAAAGGAGUACUCUAAAAUCUGUCAUUAACA